UGGGGAAUUUUGGACAAUGGGCGAAAGCCUGAUCCAGCAAUGCCGCGUGUGUGAAGAAGGCCUUCGGGUUGUAAAGCACUUUUGUCCGGAAAGAAAUCCUUGGCUCUAAUACAGUCGGGGGAUGACGGUACCGGAAGAAUAAGCACCGGCUAACUACGUGCCAGCAGCCGCGGUAAUACGUAGGGUGCAAGCGUUAAUCGGAAUUACUGGGCGUAAAGCGUGCGCAGGCGGUUUGCUAAGACCGAUGCGAAAUCCCCGGGCUCAACCUGGGAACUGCAUUGGUGACUGGCAGGCUAGAGUAUGGCAGAGGGGGGUAGAAUUCCACGUGUAGCAGUGAAAUGCGUAGAGAUGUGGAGGAAUACCGAUGGCGAAGGCAGCCCCCUGGGCCAAUACUGACGCUCAUGCACGAAAGCGUGGGGAGCAAACAGGAUUAGAUACCCUGGUAGUCCACGCCCUAAACGAUGUCAACUAGUUGUUGGGGAUUCAUUUCCUUAGUAACGUAGCUAACGCGUGAAGUUGACCGCCUGGGGAGUACGGUCGCAAGAUUAAAACUCAAAUGAAUUGACGGGGUCAUAGCUGUUUCCUG
rnacentral:rRNA from 1 species